rnacentral:snRNA from 1 species
GUGCUUGCUUUGGCCACACACUGACUAAAAUUGGAACAAUGCAGAGAAGAUUAGCAUGGCCCCUGCACACGGAUGACACACAAACUUAGGAAGUGUUCCAUAUGUUU